CCGGGGCCUUGCUCGCCUCGCCCUGCUAGCAAGCGGAGCGGCGGUGGCGGCGGCUGCGUGCCACCCAGGACACAGGAAGCAUGCAUCUUGUCAUAACAGCAGCUUCAAACAAAAAUGGCUGCCCUUCUCUUCACUUUUGGGUAGACAUGGCGUAGUUGGCCCUUCACUGAUGGCCCUCACAGAUGCCACGAGUACAGCAAGACGCUUUAAGAGGCCCGCCUGCGCUCUGCCGGGUGGUGCACUACAUCACGGAGCUCGAUGAAGGUUCUUCCCUAAAAAUAAAGACAUGGAGCUGCGUUAAGCCGAUCCCAGACUUUGGAGUGAAAGGCACCGCGGCAGGGGAUCCCAACCGGAGACUUCUGGACUAUGGAGCAUUUUUUUUUUGGUAGGACACAUGGAGACAAAGAACCAUUUGGACUCAGCGACGAGCAAUUUGGAAUCAUCCAACAGCAUAGAUGGACCGGCUAGGUAGAAAAUGCACACGUUACCCGCCAGGCAGGACGCUUCCGACUGCUGCCUCGCUGCCAGCGCAUCUUGCUCCUUGCGUUUCUUGCUCCUCCUCAAGCUGCCAAACCUCUUCAUGGAGCGCGGCGGCGGCGGCGGGUGGCGGGCUCGACGCAGAACCUGGCCGUGACCAUCCGCAUUACGACCGAGCCGCGCAAUAAAAGACACUCGCUCACCUUCCCUUCCUCCCUUGGUCCUUUAGGGGAGGCAACUUUUCCUUUCACUUAGACGUCUGCUAAUCUUAAGGCAAAAGCUGCAAAGCUCCUGCAAAGAUUCUUCUGGCAUACCCAGCUGUACAGAUUCCGCAAUCCAUGACAAGUAGUUGAGCUGUAAUUUAUGCAAGGUAAAACUUGUCCUCCCCAGUGAUGUGUCCGCCUCGCGUGGGAACCCUCCCACCUAUCAGCCGCAUCAGAGUCGUAAAUUGUCAGGUGCAGCUGUGGGUGGGUGGCGUCUCUUUUAAUAUAGCACCCAUGAGGGAAAAAAAAAAAAAAAAAAAAAAAAAAAAAGGAGACCAGCCUGCCGGGCAGCGAUUGGUGGGCAACCGUGCCCCCUCCUUCCACUGCACCUCCCACCUCAACGAGAGUAAACUCAGCCAAGGCGUGACACGAGCUGCUUCUGAAAAAGCUCCUGAAGAUGAAUAAUCAAGAGUGUGGCUGGCUGUUAAGACGCCGCCGCUGCUGCUGCUGCUGCUGCUACUGCUGAUGAUGAUGCAGACAUUUGUGCCGUCUCUGACAAGUUCUUUUUUGGGGUGUGGAGACCUUUACAAGGUCCCGUCAGGUGACAGAAAGGGGGUGGGGACAUCCAGUGGCCAGUCAUCUGCUCCAUUGGGAGCAGCUGACUAAUGAUGUUAGCUAUGACUUGACUAUGAUGAGUCCUCACUGAUUCGGACUACUUUUGAUAUAUGCGUAUAUAUUUUACACAAUGGCUCCCACGAGGUGGGAACACACAAACGCCCGCCACCCAAAAAGGUCAGACAGGGACAAAUUGACACGCUUGAGUUGGGUUCAUUUAUGGAAAAUCCAAGAAAUGUGCAGUUCUUUUAUUUACUGACAACAUGCGGCACACUAUAGCAACAUAGAGCGAGAAAGAGGAGGGGAGGGAAGGAGAGCGCAGGAGCUUCUCGGAGAGCCUUCUCACUUCCAGAUAAGGCCAUGUGCAGAAAGACCAACUGUUGGCUCCAGACUGAAAAAGGCCAAGAGGAUCAUAUUUGGUUGUACUACCAUCAUGGAUAAUCAGAAGUCAUGCCAUCUAAAUCAUAUUAUCCUAACCGUGGCAACACAAGCUGAGUUUACAGCGCACCCUUGUGGCCAAUGCAAGAAAUCUACACGCAUUAGGGAAUAAAACAAAAUGAGGGAAUAAUAACUUUGUUUUAGUACAAGGACCCUAUUGUGAUUUAUCUAUCGAUACAAAAGCAUGGGGGGGGGGGGGACAUGCAAACCCAACACAAGAUUCAAACCCAGAACCCCAGAACUGUGGCGCACGUCACUAACCACUACUCUAUCUUUGCUGGGAUGCAGUUACGGCUGUCAUUGUCACUUUCAGUAAGCCGAGUCGAUGCUUUUUGACCAUUUAGCGUCGACUAAAACAUUUUCCGGUUCGGCCGUACUAACUGCGAUUCCGCUCAGGCCCUCAGAGGAAACAGUGGUCGCUUAUGAGCCCAAAACAUGUGAGUCAUCAGUGCGUAGUUUAACUCUUGAUGUUUCGAGCAGUCACUCCCAUUCACGCUUUGAGGGGACCACAUUGCCAUUAGAUCACUAAAGUGCUCCAAUAGCCAAACUCGAAGCCAAGUCCAACAAUUUAGCCCUGCUAUCAUGGACUGACAGGAAAUAAAAAAAAAAAAAAAAUACCAAAGCACAAAAGCAAAAGUUUCCUUUUUCCUUGUUGACGGAGGAAGCUUUUCACACUGCACAAGCAAUCACUUGCCUGGCACACCUCAGGACCGCGCUCACAAAACAAAGGAGUGGAAAAGUUCACUGCGAGGGAAACCUUUUACGUCCUUGUUGAUGUUUUGCUUCGGGGCUGCUGCCGGAUGAAGAGCGAAAAAUGCCACUGAAGCUGAGGCGGCGCGGGGAUUUGACCGGGGACGACUGAUAACAGGAAGAAGGGAAGACGUUCUUCGGGGAACCCGAGUUGGACUUCCCCGGACACGGCACCGGGCUGCUGGCCGGCUCCCCCAUGGCAGGCCCGGCUGAACGGAUGCGACGCUCCCCCUGCGAAACCAUCAGAAGACACUUUUACGACGGCUUGGGGAUCGCAACUUAGAGAAGACCUGUUAUGAAACACCAGAAGCUGUUCUUUCUAAAUGGAGCCUGGCACUUCCUUCUUUUCGCAAAUACGCAACGCUGACAACUUUACACAAGCGCACAUGGGAGUGUAAACAAUAGCUCGUGUAACAUCGUUGAUUCAAUCAAGUGCUAAGCUUGGAGGGAGGACGCUAGCACGAGUUUGUGCUGUUCUUUGGCCUUGGAAGCUAUCUCUGCGCCUCUAUUAGAGGAAAUACAGAAAUAGCCAUUUUUUUAUUUCAUGCAAUCUGGACAGCUUCUGCUGCCUUGGAAAUAAUUCCGCGUUGUUUUGUCUGGUGGUCCGACAAGGCCCGACAGGACGGCAAUGGCUCAAGGUGGUCUCCUUUACACGUUCAUUUCCCCUUUUUCGAAAAUCAAUCCUGUGCUAAAUCAGAAGGAGCCGGAGAACACGCCUACCACCGACGCUCACUCGGUGCUAUUGCGCAAGAAGAAAUAGACACAAGGGGCCGGCCGGGGUGAGGCGUGACUGGCGCAGAACCGUAACAGGAACUCGCCAAUAAAGCAACCGAAUAGACGAAUAAGCGGGCCAGAUAAGAUGACGAGGCAAAUCAAUAGCUUGGCAUCAGAAUUGCUCUUUCAGCUAUUUUCUUCAUUUACUUUGCUUUGAAAUAUUUUACUUGUAAACCUGUUUAUUUGUUUUCAAUGUACAUUCUUUUCAUAUUUCUUAACAAGCUAUUUUAGUUCUCUUUGCUUUGUGUGUCUUUAUAGAUUGUAUGUGAAGCACAAGAGUUGCCUUGUGCAUAUAACAAAGAAUAAAAGAAAAAUGGAAGUAUGAAUGUGAAUGGACUUCCUGCCCAGAAAUAACAAAUGCCCAUCCAAAUUGCUACAUAUCGAAAUCGUACAGUAAUGGAAGGAAAUUGUUUACCGUGGAAAUUGGGCUUCUAGGUGAGCAACCCUUUUCCAACUGAGGAGAAGCAAAUGGCGAGAACUCCUGCAUGGAAGCAGAAAGACAAAGUCCAUGAGGAGAGAUAAUGGAAGGCCUUCACUUUUGCAUUUCUGUGUAAACAUGAACGCAUUUGACCAUGACUCGGCCAAAUGUACAACUUGACAUUCCGCACGGACAACAAAAAGUAACGGCAACUGUGUAGCAGAAGAAAGUCAUCAUCAUCAAACUCAACAUUGUUUGAGUGUUUUACUGUGCUCCAAAAAUAAAGUUGAAGUAUUUUCAUCAGA